rnacentral:lncRNA from 1 species
AUGCGUGUGCUGGAUUAGGUGUCAGCAGCGAUCUGGUUAUUAUGUAGGCACUCAAGUGAGCUCGCGUUCCGGCAGAUAGGGCUAAAAACAGAGCUCCUCCAUCCUUGGUGCCUCCACAGGCUGUCAUCGCUAGUAAGUACUCCAACCUCAUUAGGUGUAAAAUCUCUGCAUUAGUAUCUAGGGGUUAUGUUGUUUAGGAAGUAUACUUAGCAGUCAGAUCUGCAAUCUAGUGAUCUUUUCGUCUCUUGUGUCUUUUUAGAUGGAUGAUGAGGGCGAGCAUCAAGAGUUGUCAUGCCGGGGGCAGUCCGAAAAUCAAGAGAGCCCCUGUGCUG